rnacentral:rRNA from 1 species
UACGUAGGGUGCGAGCGUUGUCCGGAAUUAUUGGGCGUAAAGGGCUCGUAGGCGGUUUGUCGCGUCGGGAGUGAAAACUCAGGGCUUAACCCUGAGCCUGCUUCCGAUACGGGCAGACUAGAGUUCGGUAGGGGAGUCUGGAAUUCCUGGUGUAGCGGUGAAAUGCGCAGAUAUCAGGAGGAACACCGAUGGCGAAGGCAGGUCUCUGGGCAUUAACUGACGCUGAGGAGCGAAAGCAUGGGGAGCGAACAGG